AAAACCUGUGCUUGACUCUUUCAGAGAGACAUCAAAUGUUCCAGGUCUUCCUUUCUGCUGGAUAUUGCUGAAUCACAGCUGCUAAAGAACAUAGGGGAUGUGAUAGCAGGAGUGCUUCCGGACCUUCCUGAUCAACUUGUUAAGUCCGUUGAAGAUACUUUAAAAACACUUUGUGCGGCAACCACAGAUGAUUUAAAGAACAUCACAGAAAACGAUUUGCUGCCAGUGUUAAAGCCCAUACAAGCACGAAGACUGGUUGCUGCCUGGACCCAAAAUAGUGUUUCUUUUCCAUAAAUCCUGAGAUGUG